rnacentral:rRNA from 1 species
UACGGAGGGUGCGAGCGUUGUCCGGAAUCAUUGGGCGUAAAGGGCGCGUAGGUGGCCCGGUAAGCGUGCGGUGAAAGCUCGGGGCUCAACCCCGAGUCGGCCGUGCGAACUGCUGGGCUUGAGCACUGUAGAGGCAGGCGGAAUUCCGGGUGUAGCGGUGGAAUGCGUAGAGAUCCGGAAGAACACCGGUGGCGAAGGCGGCCUGCUGGGCAGUAGCUGACACUGAGGCGCGACAGCGUGGGGAGCAAACAGG